rnacentral:tRNA from 1 species
GGGCGCAUGGCUCAGUUGGUUAGAGUGCCGCCUUCACACGGCGGAGGUCAUAGGUUCGAAUCCUAUUGCGCCCA